AACGAACGCUGGCGGCAGGCUUAACACAUGCAAGUCGAACGCCCCGCAAGGGGAGUGGCAGACGGGUGAGUAACACGUGGGAACAUGCCCAAAGGUACGGAAUAUUCUCGGGAAACUGGGAGCAAUACCGUAUGUGCCCGAAAGGGGAAAGAUUUAUCGCCUUUGGAUUGGCCAGCGUUGGAUUAGCUAGUUGGUGGGGUAAAAGCCUACCAAGGCGACGAUCCAUAGCUGGUCUGAGAGGACGACCAGCCACACUGGGACUGAGACACGGCCCAGACUCCUACGGGAGGCGGCAGUGGGGAAUCUUGGACAAUGGGCGCAAGCCUGAUCCAGCCAUGCCGCGUGAGUGAUGAAGGCCCUAGGGUUGUAAAACUCUUUCGUGGGGGACGAUAAUGACGGUACCCCAAGAAGAAGCUCCGGCUAACUUCGUGCCAGCCGCCGCGGUAAGAC
rnacentral:rRNA from 1 species